UUUUAUUAGAAUUGCUCUGAUUACCUGUGGGAUUAAUGUUGUUAAGUUGAGUUUUGUGUAUUGUGAAUUAGAAGAUGUUGUGAUUUGGGGAGCAGGGUGACUCCAGGAGAAUAAGGAUGGGUAAUUUAGAAGAGUAAAUUUCUUUUCUCCAGGUUUUGGGUAGUCCAUUUUAGGGGAAGUUCUGCCAAAUUUUUGGAAGAAUUUUCUUCUAAGGUGGACCCCGCAGGGCCACUUCGGAUUUCAGGGUGAAAUCCGGGGGGCGGGUCCUGUCAUUGCCUAGCUAGGCGAUUGCAUUGGGUAGCAGCACAAGCGAUUCAGGCGGAGGCUGUUAUCUCUUUAAUCCAAAAUAAGAAGAGGAAAGUUCAAGGGCAAGCCCACGGGUCACUGCGACUUCUCCACUCACGAAGAGAUGUUUGGUCCAGUAAAGCAGUGAAGAUAAGUUAUAGGCUUCUGGUAGUGAUUUGGCUUGAAAUCUGGUAGUGAUUUUGAUUCGCAGCAGUCAAUUUGAAGGUAUUGGAGUUCGAUUCGCAGCAGGCCAUUUGAAGGUCAGGAUAAUCGUGGCUGAAGCGGUAGCGGCAUCCUUGCAGCUUUACGGUCUAUUUGAUACUUGACAAAUUUAGUCUUGUUGGAAAGCUUCAAGAAACAAACAAGGGCAUUCCUGAGCAAAAUGGUGGCAAGAGUUGUGGUUAUUGGAACAUGUGUUACUUGAACGAGAUAGUGGAAGACACGAAUUUGGAGUUUACUAUUAAGUGGGAUAGAAGAACAAAUCUUGUUUACACAGAAAAAGAUAUUGAUGAAGUUCGGACUGAAUGAGCAAAGCAUGUUAUGAAGUUUGCACAAGUGUAGUGCGCACAAAGAGUGUCUGUGGUAUAUGCGUAGUUAGGGCUAGCUGUUUUUGUGCAUAUUGACAUUAAAUGCAUAGCUAGAUUAUGGAGGGUUUUUUUGCCUAACUAAUAUGAUCAACUUUUGCCUUUAUUGAUCAUAUUUUGACCUCCUAAUAGAUUACUCAACUUUUAGAUUGAGUGCAUGAGAAUUGUUGUAUCCAAAUAGGUAGGGGAUUGAGAUUUGGCUUAUGUACUCAGUAUAGUCUUUUUUUGACACACCGUUACCCAUAUCCAAAUGAAGCUUCACCGGUCUG